AACGGGGUGCGAGUGGCCUUUACUUUUUUAAAGGACAUUUGUACACAAUCGCACAAAUAAACAAUGUCAAGUCUGGGCAAAUAUUUCCCACAUCUCAGUCAAAAGAAAAGGGUGGCCUGACCCAGCCGCGACUGGGUUUUCUCUGAGAAAUAGGUUGGGAUGUAAAGGUCCCACGCGUCCACCCACAGCCCGUGGCACCUUCCGUUGGUGCACGGUGGCAGGACCUUUGUUCUUUCCCUAGGGGUCUUCAGCAAGCUGCAAGGGCUAAAAUAUGUUAGAGUUAAACGCCCAUCCCACGGCCUUAGAACCACGCCCGGGAGUCAGCAGCCUUUUCCUUGGAGGCAGCUGCUCCGGGCCUUGGAAGUUUCUUCCUAUUCUGACGCAGGCUGGGAACUCUAGAGGCCUUGUAGAAAGGUCCAAAGGACGAGAAGACUGGGGCCAGAGGCUUUCGGAGCUUUGCCCGGGCUCUCUAAGCCCGCUCACUUCUCUGCUGGGGUGCGAGUCGACGGUUCAACUUCUCCCUCCUUUUCCUCCACGCGCCCCUCCCGCCAGAUUCGCCAUGCUCAGCAAAACGUCGCAGCAAGUCCCUUGGGGCGGCAGCCCGAGCUCCACGUGCUAAUCAACCCCGCCCCACGGCUCUUCGAAGCUCUCCAGGCUCACAGCGCGUCCGCAGGGCGCGCGAAGCGCAGCGUGUAGUUGGCGCCCGCGUUGUUGUCCCAGUACUCGCCCUGCGCACAGCGGUAGCAGACAGCGAAGUGGACCGCGACGCCGCGCGCGUCAGCUUGCUCUUCACCCUCAGGCUGCAGGCCCGGGGGCAGGCACAGCGAGAAGUGGAAGGACUCAGCGCCUGGCUCUUUCUUGGCAUCCCCGGAACCUGGCUCGGAGGCCCCCGACUGCGCCUCUGGCGGCUGUGGCUCCAGCGGCUCCGGCUGCAGCUCAGCUGGCACGUCCAGGAAGGAGCGCCACUCGGUAAAGGUGUAGCGCACGGUCACGGCCCUGGGCCCAGGGCAGCUGAGCACGCGGCCGGAGCCCUUCACCUCCGCGCCCGAGGCCGUCGAGCACUGCACGCGCUCCAGGCACACGCGCUGCCGCUGCAGGCGCUCGGCCGCGGCGCUCGGCCCCGGGAGCUGGAAGAGCGGCCGGAGCCGGGAAGGCUGCGCUGAGAGGGGCGCGGCCAGCAGUCCCCGAGCUGCUCCAGGUCCUCGGCACGCAUAGGGAAGCUUCGGAGGCGCGAGAGCACUGCGGGCGGCACCUGCGGCUCCUCCGCCUCGCUGAAGUGCUUCACGCUGGUCAGGGUCAGCCCCAGCGUGUCCGCGAACUGCACCCGCUUCUUGCACUUGGCGCAGCAGCCGCCCGGGCCGAGCGGCGCGUCCUCCGCCCCUUCGCCUCCCAGCACUGCUGCCUGUUGCUGCUGCUGCUGCAGGAACUUGGCCGCCUGCAGGAUGGGGUCGGCGGGCAAGGAGAAGGAGCGCGCGCGGCAGCGGCGGCGGCAUUGCAGCAGCUCCUCCUGCUCCUGGAGGGCGGCCUCUUCCUUCGGGGACAGGGGCCUGUCCCCUAGCUGAGCGUCAGGACUCGGGGUCUCCGAAGUGCCACCGCCGUCGCCGCCACCCUGCACGCAGAGGACCCCCGGGACGGACGGUUCCUCGACCAGCGGGGUCUCUCCGAAGGGCGCUGGUCCCGGCGCCUCCAAACUUAACCGCGCCCCUGUGGGCUCCAUGACGCCGUUCGCCACUCUGGAGACGUAACUAACUCCUCGGACCGUGGAAUGAGCGCAGGGCUGCAGUUCAGGCUCGCCCUCCCCGAGGCGAGUCGCCCCAGGCUCGACAAGACACCACAGUUAGUUCCACUUUGGAGCCUCCGGCUUUUAGCUGCGGCAGGGCGAAGUGGGAGGAGGAUGCGGGCCUGGGGCCGGCUCCGGGGCCACGCCGCCUCCUGGUUGAACCUGCCCGCGACGGGGGAGGGCCGGGGGCGGGGAGGCGCGGCCCCUGCAACACCUGAAAGCGAGUUCCCGAGUGCUUGGGUGCAGUGUAGGGGGCGACGUCCUGUCGUUCGCGGACUCCCUGGGGCCCUCACCCGCACCCCCGGCCGGGCUAGCGUCUAUUCCGCCGCCGGAGUGCCUCGAAGUGGGAGUAUAGACGCCGCGCUCAACCUUCAGAGACCCCCACGUGCACAAAGUCUUCCUGCCCAUGAACUUGACCUGACGUGUCUGCCCCCCGGAGGGUCACUGAGCGCUCUCCUCUUGGCUGUCUCACGGGCCUGGCGAGUCCCCGGUGCAGCGCGCAACUGGGGAAAACUUGCCUACGCAGAGGCUUGAAGGAGGCCCAUGCCGCGCCGCCGGAAAGCAGGGAGCGCAUCCCUUCCCUUCUGCUCCUGCCUUCCCCAGACUUCAGGGUGCCCCGGGUUCCAAUCCCACUCGGAAGCCUGACUCGAUCAGGCGCGCUCCGCUCUGCGCUUCCGAAAGCCGGGAGGCAGGAGCCGCCGCCCC
rnacentral:lncRNA from 1 species